rnacentral:rRNA from 1 species
CCAUCCUCCAAGGCUAAAUACUCGUGGUCGACCGAUAGCGAACCAGUACCGUGAGGGAAAGGCGAAAAGAACCCCGGCGAGGGGGGUGAAAUAGAACCUGAAACCGCAUGCGUGCAAGCAGUCGGAGCCCCUACGGGGGUGACGGCGUACCUUUUGUAUAAUGGGUCAGCGACUUACUUUCAGUGGCGAGCUUAACCGGUAGGGGAAGCGCAGGGAAACCGAGUCCGAAUAGGGCGCCAGUCGCUGGGAGUAGACCCGAAACCGAGCGAUCUAUCCAUGACCAGGCUGAAGGUGGGGUAACACCCACUGAAGGGCCGAACCCACGUCUGUUGAAAAAGCCGGGGAUGAGUUGUGGAUCGGAGUGAAAGGCUAAUCAAGCUCGGAGAUAGCUGGUUCUCCCCGAAAGCUAUUGAGGUAGCGCCUCGCGUCUCACUCCCGGGGGUAGAGCACUGUUUCGGCUAGGGGGCCAUCCCGGCUUACCAACCCGAGGCAAACUCCGAAUACCGGGAAGUGCAAUCGCGGGAGACACACGGCGGGUGCGAACAUCCGUCGUGAAGAGGGAAACAACCCAGACCGCCAGCUAAGGCCCCCAAAUUGCGGCUCAGUGGGAAACGAGGUGGGAAGGCCCAGACAGCCAGGAGGUUGGCU